GGGCUGUAGCUUACUGGUAGAGAGCACUUACCUAGCAUUUAUGAAGCCCUGGGUUCAAUUCCCAGCCCCA
rnacentral:tRNA from 1 species